rnacentral:tRNA from 1 species
GGAGAGGUGGCCGAGUGGUUUAAGGCAACAGUCUUGAAAACUGUCGUACCGGGAACGGUACCGUGAGUUCGAAUCUCACCCUCUCCGCCA